CCGGAAUUACUGGGCGUAAAGAGCUCGUAGGUGGUUUGUCGCGUUGUUCGUGAAAUCUCACGGCUUAACUGUGAGCGUGCGGGCGAUACGGGCAGACUUGAGUACUGCAGGGGAGACUGGAAUUCCUGGUGUAGCGGUGGAAUGCGCAGAUAUCAGGAGGAACACCGGUGGCGAAGGCGGGUCUCUGGGCAGUAACUGACGCUGAGGAGCGAAAGCGUGGGGAGCGAACAGGAUUAGAUACCCUGGUAGUCCACGCCGUAAACGGUGGGUACUAGGUGUGGGUUUCCUUCCUUGGGAUCCGUGCCGUAGCUAACGCAUUAAGUACCCCGCCUGGGGAGUACGGCCGCAAGGCUAAAACUCAAAGAAAUUGACGGGGGCCCGCACAAGCGGCGGAGCAUGUGGAUUAAUUCGAUGCAACGCGAAGAACCUUACCUGGGUUUGACAUGCACAGGACGCCGGCAGAGAUGUCGGUUCCCUUGUGGCCUGCGUGCAGGUGGUGCAUGGCUGUCGUCAGCUCGUGUCGUGAGAUGUUGGGUUAAGUCCCGCAACGAGCGCAACCCUUGUCUCAUGUUGCCAGCGGGUAAUGCCGGGGACUCGUGAGAGACUGCCGGGGUCAACUCGGAGGAAGGUGGGGAUGACGUCAAGUCAUCAUGCCCCUUAUGUCCAGGGCUUCACACAUGCUACAAUGGCCGGUACAAAGGGCUGCGAUGCCGCGAGGUUA
rnacentral:rRNA from 1 species